GAGUCAUCAAAGCAGUGGACUUUGAAGAAGAAUUCACUGUUUGGAUUAUUACACAACGCCUAAUUCCAGUAACAAAUUCUGUCAUAUUAUACUGCAUUGCCAAACUAUCAAUCUGAUCAGACACGGUAUCAUAAAAUUCUGUAGUGUAAAUCCUGAAAAUAGCCUACUCCAUGUUCAGCUUUCUCGUUCACAUCCAAUUUGUUCAGCUUUUCUGAAAAUAAGCCAUUUGAACUGGCGUUGAGAAUAAAAAUUCAAAUUGAACGCCAUUUUAAAUGGCGUUGGAACUUUUUUUUUAUAAUGCAAAUGUGGAAUGGAAUAGAUGCACACAAGCAAAUGUGAACAGAGCUUGAACACCAUUUCAAAUGGCGUUGAAACAUUUUUUGUUUUUUUCUCAAUAAAGCAAAUGGCAGCUUUUUUGAUGCAGGAAAUGUGGAAUAGAGCUUGAAUGCCUUCCAAGUAAAAGUAGCUUAAAAUCAAUCUGAUUUUGUGGCAAUGACCGCAUAACAUCCUUGCUCUUGGAUAGAACUUUAGCCUUCCAAGUAAAAGUAGCCAAAGUAUUGGGAACAAGGUCUUGUGCGCGAGUUAGAAAAGUAUACUAAUAAAUUUAUUUAAACCAGUAGAUAUUUUAAUGUAUUUCUUAACUGGUAUGCAUAAGCACAAGUGCACUUGUAUUGAUUUACUAAAUGUGGUUUAGAUCUGAAUUACAAUGGUUGCCUUUGACCGUCUCUUUUGUAUACUCUGGCAGUAUGAUGAAGACAAAACUCACAUAAGAGAUGCUAUUAAGUCUGGAAAGGCAAGACUACAUACACUAAUCUUUAUUUGUGUAUCUCAUUACAUACUUCAUUCGGAUUAUAUAAUUUAAGUUUGUUUUUUUUGUAUCUUUUUUAGAUCAUCAUUGCAUCAACAUGGACGUUUGAAGACUUUAGGGCUGCUAUCCCUGAGAGCAUUGGUUCUCCACCGGUAUCAGAUAUUAAUUUACAGGUUUAACUUCUGCUGUUUGAUAUCUUUACAUUUUUCUUUGUUUCCAGAUGUUGACCUUGAUACGCAACGUCAAAUUUUCAUUUUUUAUAUUAAACAUUUUUUUUGUUUCUUGAAGGUACACAUACUUAGUAGUUUUUUGAUACUUGAAUGUUGAACCUAUGACUAGCUGGACCGAUCAUAGUUAUUUAGAAUUGUGAUUUCAUUAGAAAUCUUUUUGGUAGUACUCUAUAGAUUUUUUCUUUAAUAGAAAACAAUAAACCCAAUUUUUGUUCUUCCUAGUAAUUUGUAAGUGAUUGUUGAGUCGUUGACAUUUAUAGUUAUGCAGUUCCAUAGUUUAGCAUAUUAAGUGACUCCCGAUUUUAUAUGGUAGCCUGAAUUUGUCUAUAUGGGUCACUCAUGGUAUCUUUUCACGCUAUUGAUGGCUUUAAGUUAAAAUUUUGGUAAACCAUAUCUUAGACCUGUCCCAUGAUCUAUCGUAUUAAGGUGGAACACGAGUCAAAUGUUUAUGUCGACUUUGAAUAAUUAUGUAGAUGAGUACAAGUUUAUUGCAAUACAUAGCUAUUGUUUGUCGCUGCGAACCGCUGUUGAUUUUUCUGGCGAGUUUUACUUCCCAAAUUUAGAUGGGGUAUCUAGCCAAUUUUUAAUUCCAGUCCAGUGUACAUUGUUUGGUAUGGGCUGUUUGAGUUUUCUUGCCAUGUUAUAUAGUUUUUUAGACAUGUCUCAUCAUAUAUCUGAAGAGUGGUUUCACAAUGUAACAGGAAUGGCCCGAAGAAGAAUAUCCUCCAUAUGCCAACGGACCUGGAUAUAUAAUUUCCAGUGAUAUCGCCAAAUAUAUCGCCUCUCAGCGUGUUAAAAGAAGCCUAAGGGUUUGUAAACCAGAAAGCUAAUAAUCUUUUACAUCUAUUAUCAAUGAUGAUUAAAGUUCUAUUACUGAAGCAAAUAGUUCUAUGCUUCUCUCUUUGGCAGCUCUUCAAGAUGGAGGAUGUGAGCAUGGGAAUGUGGGUUCAACAGUUCAACAUCUCCACACCUGUCCAAUACUCCCAUAGCUGGAAAUUUUGCCAGUAUGGGUGCCUGGAGAAUUAUUUCACCACUCAUUACUAAUCUCCUAGGCAAAUGAUAUGUCUUUGGGACAAACUGGCAAGGGGUCAAGCUCGUUGCUGCAACUUUUAAAAGAGAAAGCGAUUUUCAACUACAGGGAUUGAAAUUAUUUUGCAGCCAUUUCGCUAUUGCUAGAAAUUCUUUCACCUCUUUGUCAAAUCUUGCACAUUUUAUAGACGAAUGGAGAUUGCUGCUUCAGUUUUUUUGGGAAUUUUUAUUAUAAAUGAUUUAGAGUAUUCUGUGAUUAUUUUCACUCAGGUUCGGACGUGGGGAUUGCCCAGUGACGGAUGCCAGCUAGAGUGAAGAAGCUAGUUGUAUAGAAUUUGUGCCAUUUUUGUACUAUUGUUAUUAUUUCCACAAAUUCUUUUUUGUAAUAUUACAUAUUAAUAUAUUCAAUUUAAUAUAAUAUUUGGGAUGCUUAAUAUUCGAGAUGCUUAAUAUUACAGAUAUGAAGCAUUGGGAUAUUCGAGAUAUGCUUAAUAUUCUAGAUCAGUCAUUUAUUCGCAUAAUAUUUGGGCAUACCAUAUUACAGAUCAGUCAUUCAUUCAUUCGCAUAAUAUUUGGGCAUACCAUAUUACAGAUCAGUUUUGAAUAAUAUUUAAGGGUCCGCUAGUUCAACUAGCAGAUUGAUGGACUGAAACAAAACCAAGGCGCGUUAAGCAGCAGGAGGGUAAAAUCUGUCCACGUCCCUAGUUCAACUAGCGGACGAUGUAUUACCAUUUUUAAUCCCAGCCCUUAAUUAUAUAAUGUGUGGUGGAGAUGCUAUUUGCCCAAUUUUCAUCCAUAGCAAAUACAUGCUCUGGAUCAUUCCCCUAUAUAUAUAUAUAUGGCGGGGCACUACCAUUUUCACACAUCUCAUGAAUAAAAACUACUCCCUCCCAGAUUAUUUCCAACUCUUGUUUUAGAGUGCAUGUCAUAGAUUUCAAGACUUGUAAAAAGUAUAUCAAAUAUAUUGAUUAUAUUAUUUAAAUAUAUAUAUAUAUAUAUGUAAUUAUGGAGCCUUCUUAAAAUCAAUGUUGCAUAAGAGCAACAAAAAUGUGGAACAAAGGGAGUAUAUGAUAGCCGUUACCAUGCUAUAACAGAUGAUUAAUAUCUAGAGUUGAGAUUCAAGUACCUUAGAGUAACUCCUAUACUUUGACAAGGAGAAUUUCCAUGGCCCGAGGAACCUAGAUUCAUUAGUAAUGUGAAAAUUCUACAGAUUAGUUGACAAAUCAAUACAAUUGGACAAGGGCAAUUAAUGGAUAAAAUAAUAAGGAGCAAUGACACAAACAUGAUUUACCUUUUCAAAUAAGCAUUUGGGAUCGUGCAAUUAAAUUAAACUACUUAAUAUUUAGCCAUGCAUUAGUUUAAGCAUCAGUCACAUAAUUUUUACAACAAUUUACAAUAAUGAACAAUGAUCUUCCAUAGAAUUUCCUAACAAUUUAGUUUCUAAUUAAUUAUAUUUCUUGUUACUAGUUUUGAAUCUUUGGAUUAUCAUACAAUUUAGUGGAUGAUACCUCCAAGAAAUACAUUAUCAGGACUUGUAUUUUGCAAUAUCCUCAUAACUAAGCCCUGAAGUGCUACUCGAACCUCUAAGGUGAGUGAAAAGGAAUGCAGUUGUAUGAACCUAGGAGAUGCAUAAUUCUACUUGGACGCACAGAAUGUCAGAGAUAAAGGACUGCGCCAUCAGCUCAGAAGGCUUGCAAGUCAAUCAAGCCUGCCGGGUAUCCCAUAAAAAUUAUACCAGAAACGGAUUUCUUUAAAACAAAAAAAUGGGUUUAAAUUUUGUGUUAAUUGGAUACUCAAUUUGCUUCAUUGAGGAAGUCCAUUUCCAACUUAAGAGUCUACUAAAGUUCAAUUACUUUAAUAUCAAGUAGUAUUGUUGCUACUUGAUUGAUUUGUUGAACUCAAAAUCACAAUUGUUCAGUGACAUUAACUUUCACUCUAAAAGGAAGGGCAAGAUGCUAGUUCACAUGGUUCAAAGAGAAGACUAAGUCAUGCUGAGAAGUUAAAAGUCCAUACUAAAUGAAGAAGAUAAUGUCCAAUGGAGGAGGAGGAACAAUUUGAUUGAAGAAAAUGAGAGAAGGAACUCGAGCAUCACAAGCUUGUGUUUCCAUUCACUGAAGGUGUUAAUGCUAGCAACUGGAUCGAGGAUUGUAAAGAAACAAAUUGUGAAAGAGCUCCCAUAUAUGAUGAGUAUGUGAAGAAUCAUUCACUGAAGGUGAUAAUGCUAGCAACUGGAUCAAGGAGUGUGAAGAAAAAAAUAGUGAAAGAGCUCCUAUAUGUCAAAGAAAGAGCAUACCAUAACCUAAUGUCAAAGAAACCAUGCUUUGCAACAUUUGCAAACAAUGAUAGAACAACACUUCAUUAUUGUACUCAUAUAUAUGAGAAACCAAAAGUUGCAAUAACAUUGAGUAAUUAAUAAUUUCAAGAAAUAUGAUUACUCAUAUUGAUGAUCUAGUAUAUUCGCAAAAGUUAAAUAAAUAAAAA
rnacentral:lncRNA from 1 species